CUUUCUUCUUCUCCCACAACUCUAUCUCAUACCAAAAAUACACGAAAGUUACUCAUUAACAUAUUUCUGAGAUAACCCUAUCCCUGCAGAUGGACAUGAAGAUUUCACUCGAUUGUUUUUCGCUUCUUCGAAUAGGGCAAGAAUGAUGAUUUCAUAUCUUUGAUUCAUGCAACAAGAAUUUAGAUUGAUUUUAUACCGUCCCCAAAAGCGAAUUCCGAUUGGUUUCAUUUCUCCCCCAAAUUUCUUCUAGGGAAAGAAGGAAAGAGUUGAUGAUUUCAUCAUCUUCUAAAUCGAGUUCAAUUUUAGCUCGUCUCAUCAAUUCAUCACCAUAAUCACCAGGUGAAUCCAAAGAUGGAUACAUCCCAAAGUCGUUAUGCCACUCGAAGAAGCAUGAUGACCGAAGAACAACGAGCUACUGAACCAGAAAGGUCUAACAUUCGCGGUAGAAAUGGCCGAGAAAACAUGCAGAUGAGGAGAUAUUGCUUCAAAAUGAAUGUAGGAGAAAUCAAUAUAGAGCUAGGCAGAAAAAUGCGGAACAUACAUGUCUUUAUUUGUGUUAUACAUAUGGAUUAGAGGGUUGGAUUCCGUGUUUAUGACUAAAACUACUCGCUGAUUUUUGGACAGGUACGAUGGAUUAAUAGUGAGGCUAUCAUGGAAGAGCAAGGCUAGAUAAAUAACCAUUUUAACUCUUUGUGUGUUUCUUAUUAGGGUAAUGCAGUUCUAACAUGUUUGUGGCGAUUGGGAGGGAGAUUGGAUUUGUAAGUAGCAGCGAGAUGAAGAAACUCUCCUUCCUAUUUGUAAUGAGAACUAAUAAGAACUGUAAUUUUGUGUCAGAUCCUUAUUACACUUUCAUGA